rnacentral:lncRNA from 1 species
GGAUGCUCGGCCCGCUUUGAGGAAAGUUGAUCCUCGCGUCGAGCCCGUCGUUUUGAGUGAGUUUUACUCACUAAUGCCUUCUUAGUGUGCUAAUUAUACUUAAAGGUUGAUUAGUGUUAAUUAAGUGUAAUUAGGUUGUUAGAUUAGAAUUGAUUAGUGGUUAUUAGUUAAUUACAUUGUAAGUUAGUUGUUUGGUUAGUGUAAUUAGAUAGAGAAUUGCCUAUAGUAUUUAUUGGAUGCUUCUUGGGAUUUUUACCGUCCCUUAUCGGGUGUUAAUUAAGCAAAUCGGGCCUAGGUGGUAUUUUUAGGAAUUAAAUAUUAAUUUUCGAAAUUAAUUAUUUAAUUAUUUGUUUCCCGAAAAUUCAACUGGGGGUGGCAAAUGACCGGGAUUUAUGCUGAUGAUCGUGCGCAGUCCGUUAUUUUAUUGAGUUUUAUAUUAUGCUAAAUUGAAUUUAUUGUAUUUAUUUAUUUAAUUUUCGCAAUUAAUUAUUUAAUUAAUUAUUUUCCGGAAAUUCAACCGGGAUGGCCGGUGACCAGAAUUUCGUGCUGAUUGUCGUGGAGUGGUCCAUUUAUUUAUUUGAGCCUUAAUUUGUGAGAAACUGAUUUAUUAGUGAUUUUAGGAUUUAUUCCUAAAUUGAAUAAUCUUUGGUUAUUAAUUGAAGAAUAACUGGGCAUCGGUUGAUAAUGCCACUACAUAUUGAAAAUUGCCGAGUGGGGCGGUGAUGCCACUAAAUGUAACAUUGCCGAGUGGGGCCGUGAUGCCACUACAUGUAACAUUGCCGAGUGGGGCCGUGAUGCCACUACAUAUUAAAAGUUGCUGAGUGGGGCAUGAUGCCACUAAAUCUAAGAAAAUUUCUCGAUGGGGCCGUGAUUACCACCUAUAAUUAAGUUGUGUCAUAAGGACCGUGAUUCAUAAUUGGGAAUUGAAUUGGAAUAGUUGAAAUGACCGGAAGUGGUCCUGCUGAUAUAUAAUCGACUAGGUCGAUUGAUCAUUGCCUUGAAUUGAUAUUGUAAAUUGGUUGGAAUAAUGGAAAUGACCGUGAGUAGUCUUGUUGGUAUGUAAUCGACUAGGUCAAUUGAUCGAUGAUUCGAUCUGAGUGUGAUUUGAUGUGAUUCAUUGCCUUGAUUUGAUGUGUGAAUUGAAUGAUUGAAGGGAGAUGAUCGUGAUUGGUCUUCCUGAUGUGAAAUAGACUAAGUCGAUUAGAUCGAUGCUUCGAUCUGUGAUGUGAUUACUUACGUGCCUAUUCAAUCUGUACUAAUAUGCAGGUGGAAUCUGAGGCUAAGGUACGUCCUCUGACUCAUGUUGUGCGUAGGCAGCCCUAAGGUGUAUUAGUUUACUAAUCGAGUCUUAGGAGGUAGAACUUGCUGAGACGUGGUCUCAGUGGUCAUUGAAUAACCAUUUCAGGACCUGGAUGAGGAGCCUAAGGAGCAUGAAUCUGACGAGGAGAUCCUUGUUGAGGAGCCCGAAGAGGAGUACGUGGAGGAGGACCCCGAGUAUGACAUCGAGUACGACUCGGAUGAGGAUCGAAAUCCUAUCCUGUCUUGUCAGACCUUGUUUGCAUGUAAAAAGUUGUAG